UACGAAGGGGGCUAGCGUUGUUCGGAAUUACUGGGCGUAAAGCGCGCGCAGGCGGCUAUCCAAGUCAGUGGUGAAAGCCCGGAGCUCAACUCCGGAACUGCCAUUGAAACUGUUUAGCUUGAGGACGAGAGAGGUGAGUGGAAUUCCCAGUGUAGAGGUGAAAUUCGUAGAUAUUGGGAAGAACACCGGUGGCGAAGGCGGCUUACUGGCUCGUAUCUGACGCUCAGGCGCGACAGCGUGGGGAUCAAACAGG
rnacentral:rRNA from 1 species